GGCGUGCCUAAUACAUGCAAGUCGAACGCACUGUUGUCGACAGAAGGUGCUUGCACUGGAAGUUGAUUGACGUGAGUGGCGGACGGGUGAGUAACACGUGGGUAACCUGCCCUUAAGCGGGGGAUAACAUUUGGAAACAGAUGCUAAUACCGCAUAAAAGUUGAGAUCACAUGGUCUUAAUUUGAAAGACGGCCUUUGGUUGUCACUUAAGGAUGGACCCGCGGCGUAUUAGCUAGUUGGUGAGAUAAUAGCCCACCAAGGCGAUGAUACGUAGCCGACCUGAGAGGGUAAUCGGCCACAUUGGGACUGAGACACGGCCCAAACUCCUACGGGAGGCAGCAGUAGGGAAUCUUCCACAAUGGACGAAAGUCUGAUGGAGCAACGCCGCGUGAGUGAAGAAGGUUUUCGGAUCGUAAAACUCUGUUGUUGGAGAAGAACAGGGACUAGAGUAACUGUUAGUCCUUUGACGGUAUCCAACCAGAAAGCCACGGCUAACUACGUGCCAGCAGCCGCGGUAAUACGUAGGUGGCAAGCGUUGUCCGGAUUUAUUGGGCGUAAAGCGAGCGCAGGCGGUUUCUUAAGUCUGAUGUGAAAGCCUUCGGCUUAACCGAAGAAGUGCAUCAGAUACUGGGAAACUUGAGUGCAGAAGAGGAAAGUGGAACUCCAUGUGUAGCGGUGAAAUGCGUAGAUAUAUGGAAGAACACCAGUGGCGAAGGCGGCUUUCUGGUCUGUAACUGACGCUGAGGCUCGAAAGUAUGGGGAGCGAACAGGAUUAGAUACCCUGGUAGUCCAUACCGUAAACGAUGAAUGCUAAGUGUUGGAGGGUUUCCGCCCUUCAGUGCUGCAGCUAACGCAUUAAGCAUUCCGCCUGGGGAGUACGACCGCAAAGUUGAAACUCAAAGGAAUUGACGGAGGCCCGCACAAGCGGUGGAGCAUGUGGUUUAAUUCGAAGCUACGCGAAGAACCUUACCAGGUCUUGACAUCUAGCGCCAAUCCUAGAGAUAGGACGUUCCCUUCGGGGACGCUAAGACAGGUGGUGCAUGGUUGUCGUCAGCUCGUGUCAUGAGAUGUUGGGUUAAGUCCCGCAACGAGCGCAACCCUUAUGAUUAGUUGCCAGCAUUUAGUUGGGCACUCUAAUCAGACUGCCGGUGACAAACCGGAGGAAGGUGGGG
rnacentral:rRNA from 1 species